rnacentral:rRNA from 1 species
ACGAACGCUGGCGGCGUGCUUAACACAUGCAAGUCGAACGGAGUCUAAAAAUUACCACUGAGAUCUUAGUCAGUGGGAGAGUAGCGUCAUGGACACGAAGUGGCCAUCACGCGUUAAAAAAAGUGCCAACACAGGGCUGAGGCCUGAGUGGUGAUUUUUAGACUGAGUGGCAAACGGGUGAGUAACACGUAGGCAACCUGCCGACAGGAUGGGGACAACAUUCCGAAAGGAAUGCUAAUACCGAAUGGAGUCCGGGGAUGGCAUCAUCUCUGGAUAAAAGAUGGCCUCUGAAUAUGCUAUCGCCUGUCGAUGGGCCUGCGUCUGAUUAGCCAGUUGGCGGGGUAACGGCCCACCAAAGCGACGAUCAGUAGCCGGUCUGAGAGGAUGAACGGCCACAUUGGGACUGAGACACGGCCCAGACUCCUACGGGAGGCAGCAGUGGGGAAUCUUCCACAAUGGGCGAAAGCCUGAUGGAGCAACGCCGCGUGAGUGAAGAAGGUCUUCGGAUCGUAAAGCUCUGUUGCACGGGACGAAAACCGAGCUUGA